CCUACGGGAGGCAGCAGUAGGGAAUCUUCCGCAAUGGACGAAAGUCUGACGGAGCAACGCCGCGUGAACGAUGAAGGCCUUCGGGUCGUAAAGUUCUGUUGUUAGGGAAGAACAAGUGCUAGUUGAAUAAGCUGGCACCUUGACGGUACCUAACCAGAAAGCCACGGCUAACUACGUGCCAGCAGCCGCGGUAAUACGUAGGUGGCAAGCGUUGUCCGGAAUUAUUGGGCGUAAAGCGCGCGCAGGCGGUUUCUUAAGUCUGAUGUGAAAGCCCCCGGCUCAACCGGGGAGGGUCAUUGGAAACUGGGAAACUUGAGUGCAGAAGAGGAAAGUGGAAUUCCAAGUGUAGCGGUGAAAUGCGUAGAGAUUUGGAGGAACACCAGUGGCGAAGGCGACUUUCUGGUCUGUAACUGACGCUGAGGCGCGAAAGCGUGGGGAGCAAACAGGAUUAGAUACCCUGGUAGUCCACGCUGUAAACGAUGAGUGCUAAGUGUUAGAGGGUUUCCGCCCUUUAGUGCUGAAGUUAACGCAUUAAGCACUCCGCCUUGGGGGAGGUACGGUCGCGAGACAGAACGUACAAUAGAAGUUAGUACGGCGUGAGACGUACGCCGACGGACGACCGACGAGGGAGGAGG
rnacentral:rRNA from 1 species